rnacentral:rRNA from 1 species
AUACGGAGGGUGCAAGCGUUAAUCGGAAUUACUGGACGUAAAGCGUACGUAGGCGGUUCGUUAAGUUAGAUGUGAAAGCCCCGGGCUUAACCUGGGAACUGCAUUUAAAACUGGCGAACUAGAGUUGAGUAGAGGGGAGUGGAAUUUCAGGUGUAGCGGUGAAAUGCGUAGAGAUCUGAAGGAACACCAGUGGCGAAGGCGGCUCCCUGGACUCAAACUGACGCUGAGGUACGAAAGCGUGGGUAGCAAACGGGAUUAGAUACCCUAGUAGUCC